rnacentral:rRNA from 1 species
AUUGGGAGCUUGCUUUUGAUUAUUUUAGCGGCGGACGGGUGAGUAACGUGUGGGUAACCUGCCUUUUACUGGGGAAUAAUCACUGGAAACGGUGACUAAUACCGCAUACGGUUCUUGGAAGGCAUCUUCUGAGAAAGAAAGGAUUUAUUCGGUAAAAGAUGGGCCCGCAUCUGAUUAGCUAGUUGGUGAGAUAACAGCCCACCAAGGCGACGAUCAGUAGCCGACCUGAGAGGGUGACCGGCCACAUUGGGACUGAGACACGGCCCAAACUCCUACGGGAGGCAGCAGUGGGGAAUAUUGCACAAUGGGCGAAAGCCUGAUGCAGCAACGCCGCGUGAAGGAAGACGGUUUUCGGAUUGUAAACUUCUAUCAAUAGGGAAGAAAGGAAUGACGGUACCUAAAUAAGAAGCCCCGGCUAACUACGUGCCAGCAGCCGCGGUAAUACGUAGGGGGCAAGCGUUAUCCGGAAUUACUGGGUGUAAAGGGAGAGUAGGCGGCAAGGUAAGCGAUAUGUGAAAGCCUUAGGCUUAACCUGAGGAUUGCAUAACGAACUAUCUAGCUAGAGUACAGGAGAGGAAAGCGGAAUUCUUAGUGUAGCGGUGAAAUGCGUAGAUAUUAGGAAGAACACCAGUGGCGAAGGCGGCUUUCUGGACUGAAACUGACGCUGAGGCUCGAAAGCGUGGGGAGCGAACAGGAUUAGGUACCCUGGUAGUCCACGCUGUAAACGAUGAGUGCUAGGUGUCGGGGAGGAAUCCUCGGUGCCG